GAUGAACGCUGGCGGCGUGCCUAAUACAUGCAAGUAGAACGCUGAAGGAAGGAGCUUGCUCUUUCCGGAUGAGUUGCGAACGGGUGAGUAACGCGUAGGUAACCUGCCUGGUAGCGGGGGAUAACUAUUGGAAACGAUAGCUAAUACCGCAUAACAGUAGAUGUUGCAUGAUAUCUACUUAAAAGGUGCAAUUGCACCACUACCAGAUGGACCUGCGUUGUAUUAGCUAGUUGGUGAGGUAACGGCUCACCAAGGCGACGAUACAUAGCCGACCUGAGAGGGUGAUCGGCCACACUGGGACUGAGACCCGGCCCAGACUCCUACGGGAGGCAGCAGUAGGGAAGCUUCGGCAAGGGGCGGAAGUCUGACCGAGCAACGCCGCGUGAGUGAAGAAGGGUUUCGGAUCGUAAAGCUCUGUUGUAAGAGAAGAACGAGUGUGAGAGUGGAAAGUUCACACUGUGACGGUAUCUUACCAGAAAGGGACGGCUAACUACGUG
rnacentral:rRNA from 1 species